rnacentral:rRNA from 1 species
UAAGGAAUAUUGGUCAAUGGACGCAAGUCUGAACCAGCCAUGCCGCGUGAAGGAUGAAGGCCCUCUGGGUUGUAAACUUCUUUUAUCUGGGACGAAAUCCCCCUUUCUAGGGGAGUUGACGGUACCAGAGGAAUAAGCACCGGCUAACUCCGUGCCAGCAGCCGCGGUAAUACGGAGGGUGCAAGCGUUAUCCGGAUUCACUGGGUUUAAAGGGUGCGUAGGCGGGAAGAUAAGUCAGUGGUGAAAGCUUUCAGCUUAACUGAAAAAUUGCCAUUGAUACUGUCUUUCUUGAAUAUAGUUGAGGUUGGCGGAAUGUGUCAUGUAGCGGUGAAAUGCUUAGAUAUGACACAGAACACCGAUUGCGAAGGCAGCUGGCUAAACUAUUAUUGACGCUGAGGCACGAAAGCGUGGGGAUCAAACAGGAUUAGAUACCCUGGUAGUCCACGCCCUAAACUAUGGAUACUCGACAUUAGCGAUACACCGUUAGUGUCUAAGCGAAAGCAUUAAGUAUCCCCACCUGGGAAGUACGACCGCAAGGUUG